UACGUAGGCAGCAAGCGUUGUUCGGAGUUACUGGGCGUAAAGAGUGCGUAGGCGGUCCUGUAAGUUUGGUGUGAAAUCUCCCGGCUCAACUGGGAGGGUGCGCCGAAGACUGCAGGGCUUGAGUAUGGGAGAGGUAAGCGGAAUUCCUGGUGUAGCGGUGAAAUGCGCAGAUAUCGGGAGGAACACCAGUAGCGAAGGCGGCACUCUGGGCCGGUACUGACGCUGAGGAGCGAAAGCGUGGGGAGCGAACAGG
rnacentral:rRNA from 1 species